UACGUAGGUGGCAAGCGUUGUCCGGAAUUAUUGGGCGUAAAGCGCGCGCAGGCGGUCCUUUAAGUCUGAUGUGAAAGCCCACGGCUCAACCGUGGAGGGUCAUUGGAAACUGGGGGACUGGAGUACAGAAGAGAAGAGUGGAAUUCCACGUGUAGCGGUGAAAUGCGUAGAGAUGUGGAGGAACACCAGUGGCGAAGGCGACUCUUUGGUCUGUAACUGACGCUGAGGCGCGAAAGCGUGGGGAGCAAACAGG
rnacentral:rRNA from 1 species